UGGGGAAUUUUGGACAAUGGGCGAAAGCCUGAUCCAGCAAUGCCGCGUGUGUGAAGAAGGCCUUCGGGUUGUAAAGCACUUUUGUCCGGAAAGAAAUGGCUCUGGUUAAUACCUGGGGUCGAUGACGGUACCGGAAGAAUAAGGACCGGCUAACUACGUGCCAGCAGCCGCGGUAAUACGUAGGGUCCAAGCGUUAAUCGGAAUUACUGGGCGUAAAGCGUGCGCAGGCGGUUGUGCAAGACCGAUGUGAAAUCCCCGAGCUUAACUUGGGAAUUGCAUUGGUGACUGCACGGCUAGAGUGUGUCAGAGGGGGGUAGAAUUCCACGUGUAGCAGUGAAAUGCGUAGAGAUGUGGAGGAAUACCGAUGGCGAAGGCAGCCCCCUGGGAAUAACACUGACGCUCAUGCACGAAAGCGUGGGGAGCAAACAGGAUUAGAUACCCUGGUAGUCCACGCCCUAAACGAUGUCAACUAGUUGUUGGGGAUUCAUUUCCUUAAGUAACGUAGCUAACGCGUGAAGUUG
rnacentral:rRNA from 1 species